CAGCCGCCGCGGGAAAACGAAGGGGGCUAGCGUUGUUCGGAAUUACUGGGCGUAAAGCGCACGUAGGCUGACAUUUAAGUCAGGGGUGAAAUCCCGGGGCUCAACCUCGGAACUGCCUUUGAUACUGGGUGUCUUGAGUGUGGAAGAGGUAAGUGGAAUUGCGAGUGUAGAGGUGAAAUUCGUAGAUAUUCGCAGGAACACCAGUGGCGAAGGCGGCUUACUGGUCCACAACUGACGCUGAGGUGCGAAAGCGUGGGGAGCAAACAGGAUUAGAUACCCCGGUAGUCCCUGUCUCUUAUCC
rnacentral:rRNA from 1 species